GGGAAAUGCAGCUUGUAGGGAUCAGUGCUCCUGAAAUGCAGACUAGAUCAAGGGAAAGAUUUUCCACACUUGGGCUGCUGGGUGAACCGAGAACGUUGGAGGGUAAAAGUUUUGGAAACAAGGGAAACAUCGAGAAAGCUUGGUAGGUACCCAGGUGAGU
rnacentral:lncRNA from 1 species